rnacentral:rRNA from 1 species
GAUGAACGCUGGCGGCGUGCCUUAAGCAUGCAAGUCGGACGAAGAUAUGAGAUGUCGCAAGACAGAUUGUUGAUUAGUGGCGGACGGGUGAGUAUAAGCAGGGAACGUACCUUGAACUAUCGGAUAGCUCGUCGAAAGACGGGGUAAUACGGUAUGUGGACGCAAGUCUAAAGUCGCAAGACGGUUCUAGAGCGGCCCUGUUCCCAUCAGCUUGUUGGUAGGGUAACGGCCUACCAAGGCUACGACGGGUAGGGGGUGUGAGAGCACGACCCCCCACAAUGGCACUGAGACACGGGCCAUACACCUACGGGUGGCAG